rnacentral:rRNA from 1 species
GAUGAACGCUGGCGGCGUGCCUAAUACAUGCAAGUCGAGCGAACAGACGAGGAGCUUGCUUCUCUGACGUUAGCGGCGGACGGGUGAGUAACACGUGGAUAACCUACCUAUAAGACUGGGAUAACUUCGGGAAACCGGAGCUAAUACCGGAUAAUAUAUUGAACCGCAUGGUUCAAUAGUGAAAGACGGUUUUGCUGUCACUUAUAGAUGGAUCCGCGCUGCAUUAGCUAGUUGGUAAGGUAACGGCUUACCAAGGCGACGAUGCGUAGCCGACCUGAGAGGGUGAUCGGCCACACUGGAACUGAGCCACGGUCCAGACUCCUACGGGAGGCAGCAGUAGGGAAUCUUCCGCAAUGGGCGAAAGCCUGACGGAGCAACGCCGCGUGAGUGAUGAAGGUCUUCGGAUCGUAAAACUCUGUUAUUAGGGAAGAACAAAUGUGUAAGUAACUGUGCACUUCUUGACGGUACCUAAUCAGAAAGCCACGGCUAACUACGUG